CCUACGGGAGGCAGCAGUCGAGAAUCAUUCACAAUGGGGGAAACCCUGAUGGUGCGACGCCGCGUGGGGGAAUGAAGGUCUUCGGAUUGUAAACCCCUGUCAUGUGGGAGCAAAUUAAAAAGAUAGUACCACAAGAGGAAGAGACGGCUAACUCUGUGCCAGCAGCCGCGGUAAUACAGAGGUCUCAAGCGUUGUUCGGAAUCACUGGGCGUAAGGCGUGCGUAGGCUGUGUCGUAAGUCGUGUGUGAAAGGCGCGGGCUCAACCCGCGGACGGCACAUGAUACUGCGAGACUAGAGUAAUGGAGGGGGAACCGGAAUUCUCGGUGUAGCAGUGAAAUGCGUAGAUAUCGAGAGGAACACUCGUGGCGAAGGCGGGUUCCUGGACAUUAACUGACGCUGAGGCACGAAGGCCAGGGGAGCGAAAGGGAUUAGAUACCCGAGUAGUC
rnacentral:rRNA from 1 species